UACAGAGGGUGCAAGCGUUGUUCGGAAUCACUGGGCUUAAAGGGCGCGUAGGCGGGUGCUCAAGUCCGUGGUGAAAUCCUCCGGCUCAACCGGAGAACUGCCUCGGAUACUGGGUGCCUCGAGGGUGGUAGGGGUAUGCGGAACUAUCGGUGGAGCGGUGAAAUGCGUUGAUAUCGAUAGGAACUCCGGUGGCGAAGGCGGCAUACUGGACCACCUCUGACGCUGAGGCGCGAAAGCCAGGGGAGCAAACGGG
rnacentral:rRNA from 1 species